CAAGCUGCUGGCGGUAGUGCACAGAAUGGCAAAGGCCCUCUGCGAUCCUCUCGUGGCAGUGUCUCCCCAGCUUGCCCGUCGGCCCUCCGUCGUGCUGCAGCAGUGGCUUUAGCCAGUUGGGAAACCCAGAGAUCCAAAUUAACUGCUCAGUGUGCAACCAGAGUCUUGUGAAACCUACAGUAAGCUGAAUUCAGAAAAUGUGCGAUGACAAGGCCACAGAGACAGAGCGAAGGGAACAGACUCCUUGGGGACACGGAUAUGCUCCACAGGUGCCAUUUGCUUCCACUGGGAAUUAUGUUAAUCCUGUGCGGGUAUUUACUGUGGCUUCUCUCCUCAAAUGCACUUCCCUCCAACUGAUCAAAAAGUCCCCACUUUCUGGAGGGUUGGGAAUGUGUUUUAUUGUUCUCAAUAAUAUCCAGUUUUGGCUGUGAGGGCGAUCUGGCUGCGACAUCUGUCACCCCAUUGAUUGCCAGGGUUGAUUCAGCUGCUCUGGCUGGCUAGGCAGGUGUCUCCUUCCUGCCUUGCUGCUCCAUGUGCACCCUCCCGAAGCCUCAUGCUCAGUGGAUGAGGAGGACCAUCUCCGAUAGAGGACGACUGGUCUUCGGUCAAGGGUAUAGAGCUGCGCUCCCCUGCUAGAACCUCCAAACAAGCUCUCGAUAAUUCCAGUCUUAAAAAAAGGAUCUGUUACAUGUGCUUCAGAACAAGUGGAUAAGUACAAUUGAAGAUUCCAUGUAUAAUUUCAAUCAUCUUUUAGUUAAAAAAAAUUUAACCCAAAGCAUUUCCAUAAGAGCUACUCCAACCUGGAGAUCACCAAGUAAAACGGAGGAGAAGGCCAAAAGUUUGAGAAAAUGGAUUUCAGUUUGAGCUGAAAUACUAAUAGAGUCCUACCUAAAGUUGACUUUAUCCCCAAGUGAAAUGAAGAGAAAUCAAGAGGGUAACAUAUGAGAUCAGUCAACCGUGGGCGUGACAGGGAGUCAGUGAAUAAGCAGUUUUAGAGAAUCAACAGCCUGCAAUUCCAUCAAGGUAGUUGAGAGACAGACCCAGGCAACAUCCUAGCAAAGCGAUAGCCUCCGUCACUUGCAGUGGUUAAAAGAUGCAAAGACAAGACACCAUCAAGCCCAAAUCUUAUUGGUUACAAAAAUGGCUGAAGCUAAUAAUGCUGACAAUACAUUAUAUCAACCAAGAUGAAGUCUAACUAGUUUUACUUUAUUUAGAUGAUGUAUCUGGAUUUUUCCUCUUCAAUUUUCUUAGAUCUUUGAAGGAAUUGCUCUGUGUCCAUUCCAAGUAUUUCUGGUGACUUAUCAAGUUUCCUGGAUGCAGGAAUGUGUUCAUUCCCCCAUGCCCCAGCAACAGUGAUCAGAAUGAAAAGGGUGAACGCAAGAUCUAAUAGGCCAAAUCCAUUUAUAUAUGGAUGGUGGGAUGAAAACAGUUCUUUUGUUGUUUGUUUUUUCUAUUGAGAUUUUUGUAAUGGAAGGAUAGGCAUCUGAGGCUGUGGUGGGAAGAGCUUUCUGUAGCAUGAAAGGAAGAAAAGAGAAGCAAAGAGGAGAGGCAGACAAAGAGAGAUUCAACAGCAGUGGUUUCCAACCUUGGCUAAACGUUGGAAUCAACUGGGGAGCUUGAAAAAAUACUGGUGCCUGGAUUCCAGCCCCAGAAAUUUUCAUUUGGUUGGUUUUCGGUGCUGCCUAGGCCUUGGGACUUUUAAAAGCUGUCUUGGUGAUUCUUACAAGCAGCUGAGGAUAGAAACCACUUGUCUUGAGGCACCAGAUCACCUUUGAGCCCGGGGCAUAAAUCCAGCUGUUCUUCCUUGUUCUGUAACCCAUCUUGGUAUCCUCAGUUGUCAAUAACUUCUCUCUCUCUCUCUUUUUUUUUUUUUUUGCUUAAUUUAGUUUGAGUUGAAUUUCUGUUAUUUGCGGCCAAAAGAAGUCUAACUAAGAAACUAAAAAUACUCUGUAAUCAUAGCUAACAUUGAUUCAGCCUCAGUGAUGUGCAAGACACUGUUUGAAGUGCUUACUUGCAUUAACUUGUUUAAUUUAAUCCUUACAGCAUCCCCAUAAUUUGAAAGCCAUUAUUGUCCCUAUUUUACAGGUGAGGAAAUGAGACAUCAAAAGAUUAACUGACUUGCUAAAAUUUACACUGCCUACGGAAGCUGACCUGGAAUGUGAACCAGAAAUUGUCCUUAACCAAAUCACCUCACUGUCUCUCAAGAACUUUUCCAGGAGUUGUUCACUGUUUUGGAAAAUCACAUUAGCAAUGUCAACAUUACUCAUGGAAUUUGAGCCUCCAGUAUAAUACACCCGACGGGCCUGCCCCAGUGGCUGCCACAUUCUCUGUGAUUCUAGGGUCUCACUCUGUCACCCAGGCUGGAGUACAGUGGUGCAAUCAUAGCUUACUGCAGCCUUGACCUCCUAGACUCAAGCAAUUCUCCUGCCUCAGCUCCUGAGUAGCUGGAACUACAG